GGGUGACAACACCCGAUCCGUCACCCACUGAGUGAGGCCAGAGAUCGAACCCGCGUCCUCAGGAAUACUAUGUUGGGUUAACCCACUGAGCCGCAACAGGAACUUCCAGCAAAGCGUUUUUUAAAGGCAAGGUCAUGUUCACUGUGCCAUCGUGACAGUCGUGCUGAGGAGUGAAGCCACGGGCAUCUUGCAAACUUGGAGCUGUGUCCUGGGAGACUUCUACUUGCCCUUUGAAGAUGGGAAGAGGGGCAGGUGUGUAUUGGUUCAACAUAAGUGGCUGCUCCAGGCUUUGAACAUCUUCAGUGAAACUUUGUUGUGAGAAAUUCUUCCUUCACCUCUCCGUUAAAGUAUGGAAACCCCAAAUGAAUUGGUGGAAAGCUCAGAAGACAACUCUUCUGACAGGAGCCACUAUUUCAAGGUACAGAACUGAGUUUUAAAUGUAGUUUUGUGUUACUACUCCAGAAUGUACUAGAUUCGUAACACUGGACCACUGGGCUUUUUUUUUUUUUUAAUCUGUGACUCUCAAACUUUUCUAUAGAAUGAAAAGUGCAAAUGGUCUUUCCAAAGCUGCUGUGUUUAAUGGGAUAGCAUCUGAGAUUCCUUAUUGCUUUGUUCAUGACAUGUUAAAUGUAAUUUGAUCAGUUUUAGCUAAACUGUGACUCAGAUUUUCUAACACCAUAUGUCUAUCCCUACAUGCAGGAGGAAAAUUAAUAUUUUAUUGAGGGAACCUAUUUUAUCUUGGGCGCUUUGUGAGAUAUGAGUGGAAUACAAAAUGAAUACGAUUCAUUAUCUUUUCUCAGGGUACUUUAAACUGUAGUUGAAAAUACAGGCUAUAAAUAAGUAAAAUCGAAGAGUGCAGUAUUUAAAAAUCAAUAUGAGACACUGUAAAAGGGUGACAUGUGACCUAGUGAGGCAUACAUGCCGUAGAUGGUUUCCAGUGUUAUCAAUUGCAUUAAUAGUAAUGACUCAUGAGGAAAAAGAAGGUGGCCCUAAAAGAAGAGAGGGUACAUCUUCCUCUACCUUCUGAGGGUAUUGAAGACAAAUCUGUUUAAACAGUUUGAAUUACUAUGUCUUCCAAAUACUUAUCUAAGCCAAGGAAAUAACUUUAUUUUAAACCUUUGAUUCUUACUCAGUAAAAGCUUAAUUAGGCAAAAUGUUUAAGCAAUGAGGUGCUAAUUGGAUUAUCUUGUCCAGAGAGGGUUAAGUUAAAUAAUCAUUUCCACGUCAGCCCUUUGCUAAAAUUCCUUUUAAAAGGUUCACAUUCAUUUUCCUGCCUUAAGCAAUAGGACAUUGUUAAAAAUUCUGGACUCUGGUGGCAAGAUGUUAUAGGACAUCUUGGAGUUGCCAAAAGGGUAAAAUAUUGAAAUGGGCAGUUAAGGGUCCAAAAACAAUUUAAGCACACUUUUAUGGGGCUGCUAGCUUCAUACACAAGAUUUUUUUUUUUCUAUUUGUUUUGUUUUAUUGUCUUGGGUUUUUUGGUGAUUAGCCUUUCUCUGAAAGCAGAGUAAGCAAAAUUUUCCAUUUUGAGAGAGCCUUGGGUACCUGGUUUCCUAUAAAUCAGGAUUUUCCUCCAUCUGUUAGGUAAGAUAUCUGUGCAGUAUACCAAUUCUAAGUUUCAGUUCCCCUGGUAGAGAUUAACACCUCAGCAGGAGCAUGUGUUAAGAAAUCACUCUGCUUCUGACUCUCAGGCAGAGAGUAAAGCUUCACAGUUAGUGUCUCUAUGACCAUUCUCUCCUCUCCAUGAUAAUAGUGAGCCCUGGUGAAGUCCGAGUGAGCUAUGUCCCAGGUGUAUGUUGUGUUUGUAACUUGGGAAUGUGUGGCUGGUUCCCACUUCCUCUUUGGAUUAAUUGAUAUUGACCGAUUCACUUUGGAGCUAAGGAACCUUUUUGGAAAGAAGGAAUUCAAACAGGGUCAACCUGGAAUGCAGACCCACACAGGCAUGACUCAUUGAAUGAAAGCCUCCUGAAGGAAGCCAGGUUGCCAUGGUGGGCUGUAGGGCCAGUGGGAAAGAAUCAACCCUGAAUAAAAAUAAGCUGAACUCAGCCACAGGGCUUGAGGGUGAGAAGAAGAUAGUGGUAUGGGGUAAAAUAUGGUGAAUGUAACUCAAUCAUUUGCAAACUUUUGGUAGAGAAUGUUGUAUAUAUUGAAUAACAAAAAAGUGCUCCUAAUUUUAUCCUCCUUAUCACUCCCCAAGAACAAUAGUGUUUGCUUAUUCAACUCUUUCUGCUUUAACCAGAUUUGUUCUUUUUUUUUUAAUUAUGUUUUUAUUUUUAUUUUUUUAAAUUGAAUUAUAGUUGAUUCACAGUGUUUCAUGUAAGCAGCAAGGUGAUACAGCCUUUCCCCUUUGGUAACCAUAAGUUUGUUUUCCAUGUCUGUGAAUCUAUUUCUGUUUUGUAAAUAUGCUCAAUUGUAUCAUACGUUUUUAGAUUCCACAUAUAAGUGCUAUCAUGUCAUUUGUCUUUCUCUGUCUGACUCACUUCCCUUAGUAUGAUAAUCUCUAUGUCUAUCCAUGUUGAUUGCUACAAAUGGCAUUAUUUCAUUCUUUUUUAUGGCUGAGUAUAUAUCACAUAUUCUUUAUCCAUUCAUCUGUUGAUGGGCAUUUAGGAUAUUUCUGUUAGACUUGUUCUUAAGAUUUGUGAUUCAGAAUCUUGAGAAUAUAUAGAAAUGUAUGGUUGGCUAGACCAGGAGACUGAUAUUGUGUUUAAGGCGGACAGCUUUAGAUAUGAAAGAGCUGGAGGAUAUGGGGUAUGGGAAGGUGAUGUUAAGGGAAAGAGAGGAUCCAGAUCUUGUGGGGCUGGGAUCAUCUUUAAGAGAAAGAAUUCAAAUUUAUAAAAACAAAAUUUGAUGUGAAUGUACAUUUCUAAAGAGAAAAUAAAUCACAAUACAUUGCAAAUAUUAAAGAGCUGUCAAAUAUCACAAAUAAAAUUAAAUAUGUAAUACUUUAAUUAUUGUAUGUAGGUUUAUUUUGAACUGAAUGUUUGUGACCCCUUACUCUCCAAUGUGUUGAAGCUGUAACAGCCCUUGAUGUGAUGGUAUUUGGAGAUGGAGCCUUUGGGAGAUAAUUAAGGUUAAAUGAGGUCUUGAGGGUGAAGUCCUGAUAGUGAGAUAAGUGCCUUUAUAAGAAGAGACCAGAAUGCUCAUAAUCUCUCUCCAGCAUAUGAACAAAGAGGAAAAAGUAGGAUAUGGUAUUUUUAUCAUUGCAAAUGCCAUAUUAUUAAAUAUUUCCCUCAAAGGAGAGGAUUUUUCUGUUCCCACUGCUUAACAAUUUUACAUUUUGGAUGAUUUGAAGAAUUUUCCAAGACUAGGUUCUGCCUUUCCCAUUUCAAACCUGGUUUCUCAUCCAUCACCUACACAGUUCUGGUGCCAAGGGCUAUAGGACAGAUUCACUUAUUAAUGUUACCUCUGCUCCAUGCCUCUGUGUUUAUGAUGCUAGGUGAGUUGGUACAGUGGGCAGUGGGAAUAUUCCUGAAAGCCACUGAAAUGCAGGAAAGUUACUGAUAGCUGUAAGCCACAUAAAUAUGUUCCACUCAAACUGAAUGUGUCUUAAGUUUACCUCCUCCUUAGAUUCCCAAAAUGUAGUUAGUCCAUUGUCAACCAACAUGAGGCAAGUGUGAUAGAAGAAGUUAGGGUGCAAAGAGACAGUGACCUUGAAGUAUGUUCACUUAAAAUAUAUCUUUCCAAGUUUUACAAAAAAGUUUGAUUACAUUAAUGCAUUUCCUGUAUCCCGCUUUUCCUUAUUCAUCAUCUGCUUGUUGUCUUCUUCAUCAUUUACAGUGGGGUUUCAAAUUCUCCUGCUAAUUUUGUUGAAUUCUCUGUUUAUCUUUUCAGUUCUGUCAGUUUUUGUUCCCAUGUAUUUUGUGUCUCUGUUGUUAGGCACAUGUAUGUUAUUGGAUGUUCCUGAUGAAAUUAACCUUUUAUGAUUAUAACAUUUUUCUUUAUCUUUAAUAACUGUUUUGUUUUAAAAUGUAUUUGGUCUCAUAUUAGUGUAGCCACUCCAGUUCAGAUACUUUCCAGAGAAAGUGACAAUUUUUGGUUUGAUAUUCAUAAAAUGUGAUAGCAUUUUUCUUUUAUAUCAAUAAUAUAUCAUGGUAGGAGGAAGCAGAAAUGACAAUUUCAGUUAGAGAAAUGGACAUUGUAUCAUUAGGAAUGACUAUCUUUGAUUCUUGAUUCUUAUUUGAAUUUUGUUGAGUGUAUGACAUUUGGAUAUUUGUUGAUAUGAAAUGUAAAAGACCAUCAAAUUGUACUUUGGAAUUCUGCUCUUUUUGUUUUGGGAUGAGGGUGGAGGCAAUAUAGUUUGAGGGGUUUUUUUUUGUUUUUGUUUUUAAUCUGGAAUUCAAUUUCAUUGACAUCAUGAGAACUUGUUUGUAGAUAAGAAUUACUUGUCUAAAUUUUCAUUACCACCCAGCAAGUUAGCCAAGCUUGACAUUUUGGAGUUAUCUACAAUUCUUGCUGUUUUCCCAUGUCUCACAUCAAUACAGACAUGUCUUCAGCUCUGAAGUCUUCCCUCACUUAUCACUGUUUCCUAUGUCCACCCUACCCUCUUGCAAAAGUUGAUAUCCUCUAUGUCUCCUCUGUGUCUACAGAACAGUUUUUAUACUCCUUUUAUAGCACUUCUCAUAUUGUAGUGAUUCUCUUAUUAUACAUCUAACUCUUCAGUUACAUUAGAUGGUGAACUCUGAGAAUAAGGACUGCAUAUUAUUUAUCUCUGUGUCUUCCAUGCCUGGCAUAUGGUACAUGGUACGUGAUUAAUGUUUAGAUCUCUUGAAAACUUGAACAUAAGCAUCCAACAUAUUUAGCCUGCUAGUGUUAGAGAGUUUAUUUGGAGAGUUAAAAUGUGAAAAAUAGGAGUACUUGCCAGCUGUUCAUCAUUAUGAAUGUCACCUCACAACUUAGGGGAAAAAUGGAUUAUAUAAUACAUUAAAUACAUAUAUAUUUAACAUUUAAUGAUUGAAAUAAUCUAUAUUCAUUAAAAUAGUAAUUGGCAUAUGUUCCCGUUGGCUUUUGUGUUCUGCUUGAUGAAAUUAUAGGUACUUAGCCUACAACCAGUUUUAUUUUAAAUGGGUCUACACCAAAUAUAGUCUUAAAAUCCUAUAUUCAUGCAAACAACAGUGUAAGAGCCAAUUAAUAACUGCUGUUUUUCAGAGCUAUUUUGUUGAAAUGGACUUACUUUUAAUCCAGGAGAAAAAUGAAUCCCUCCAAACUAGGAUCUUCUCUCUCUCCAGAUUACUGUGUUUGCCAAGUGUCCAGGAAUAUUGAUAGUUCAAAACAGUUUGACUUGUUUAAAAGUCUCGAGUUGACUAAUCUUACCAAACUGCUAAGAUUAUUCUUAUACUGUAGAACAUUAGAAUCUUGAAUGGGAUCUUACAUGUCAAAAUAGACUAACUUCCAUACUUUACAGAUGAAUAAAUUGAAGUUCUAGCAGUGGAAGUGAUUUUCAAAGAGUAAGAAGUACGUUUCUUAAGUUCUAGUCCGUUAUCUUUUCUCCAUACCAUUCAGCUUCUUACAAAGCAUUUGACAAAUAACUUCAACACGAUACUGACCAAAAUCCUAACUGUCUAUUUUUUCAGACACUGACAAACUGAUUCUAAGAUUGAUAUGGAUAUAGAAGGGACCCAAAUAUCCAAAACAAUUUUGAAAGAGAAGAACAGGAAUUCCCAUUGUGGUUCAGUGGUAAUGAACCCAAAUAGCAUCCAAGAGAAUGCAGAUUCGAUCCCUGGCCUCGUUCACUGGGUUAAGGAUCCAGUAUUGCUGUGAGCUGUGGUGUAGGUCACUGAUAUGGCUUGGAUCUGGCAUUUCUGUGGCUGUGACAUGGGUUGGCAACUGCAGCUCCAAUUCAACCCCUAGCCUCUGAACUUCCAUAUGCCAUAGGUGCAGCCCUAAAAAAAAAAAAAAAAAAAAAAAAAAA
rnacentral:lncRNA from 1 species